rfam:Bacillus circulans strain RIT379 contig9, whole genome shotgun sequence.
UACUUAUCAAGAGAGAUUGAGGGAACAGGCCCGAUGACAUCCAGCAACCUCCUUUCCUAAAGGAAGGUGCUAACUCCUGCAGAAUGACUUAUUCUGAAAGAUAAGAU